GUACGGGAGGCAGCAGUAAGGAAUAUUGGUCAAUGGAGGCAACUCUGAACCAGCCAUGCCGCGUGCAGGAAGACUGCCCUAUGGGUUGUAAACUGCUUUUAUACGGGAAUAAACCUAUCUACGAGUAGAUAGCUGAAUGUACUGUAAGAAUAAGGAUCGGCUAACUCCGUGCCAGCAGCCGCGGUAAUACGGAGGAUCCAAGCGUUAUCCGGAUUUAUUGGGUUUAAAGGGAGCGUAGGCGGCCGUUUAAGUCAGAGGUGAAAACUUGCAGCUCAACUGUAAGCUUGCCUUUGAUACUGAAUGGCUUGAAUGAACUUGAGGUAGGCGGAAUGUGACAAGUAGCGGUGAAAUGCAUAGAUAUGUCACAGAACACCAAUUGCGAAGGCAGCUUACUAAGGUUUAAUUGACGCUGAGGCUCGAAAGCGUGGGGAUCAAACAGGAUUAGAUACCCGUGUAGUCGG
rnacentral:rRNA from 1 species